GACAGUUGUGGGAGUACAGAGGAGGCACCUAACUCAUCCUGGGAAUCAGAGAAGGCUUCUUGGAGGUGGUGAUGUCUAGGGAGGGUCUUGAAGUUGGAGGAGUAAGGUAAACAAAGAAGAGGGUCGGUGCCGCCGAGAACAGUGCAUGAGCUGCCCCAGGCAGAGUGGGGCUGGGAUCCUGCCCUCUGCUGACCCCGCGGGCUCACUCCCCUUCCUAUUUUACAGAUAAAGGUGUCAAGGCUCCCAACACACUCAGCAAAAUGGAAGCCAGAUAGACUGAACACUUUCAUCAAAGAAGCAGCUCUGAAGAAGCUGGGAGGCUGUGAAGCCUUGGGAAGGCAAAUCAAAGCCAAACUUUGAGGAAACACUUUGUGAAGCAAAAGAAAAUUCCAUCGUUCUUGCAACAGUGCAAUCGACUAGAUGGAAGGUAAUUUAUUUGGAAUUGAGUGAGGCUGUGUCUGCUCAUGUCUCCAUGCUGAAAGAGCAGACCCAGAGGAAAGUUGGACAAACAUGCAGGCAAUCUGUCAGAUAACAGGCAUAAAAAUGUUGUUUUUCCCUCACCUCUUGAAUUAUUUGGGUGCUU